UUUGACCUGCUCACUGAAUAUUUUUAAAGAGCCGCGGUAUUUUGACCGUGCAAAGGUAGCAUAAUCAUUAGUCUUUUAAUUAAAGGCUGGAAUGAAUGGUUUGACGAGAAAUUAACUGUCUCUUAAUAAAUUUUAGAAUUUAACUUUUAAGUUAAAAGGCUUAAAUUUUUCUUUAGGACGAGAAGACCCUAUAGAGCUUAACAUUUUAUUUAUAUAUAUAUUUAAGAUGGUUUUUAUAUAUUUAAUGUUAAUGUUUUGUUGGGG
rnacentral:rRNA from 1 species